AGAGUGCUCUACUUUCAAAAGAAAUCCAAGCAAUUGCUAAGGAAUUGAUGAUCCUAAUUCAGGGAGCAAGGUGCAGAUAUGGUCUGUCACAAAGAUGAGAGCAGCUACUUUUAUGACACCUUUUAAAAAUUAUUUCUUAAAGUUCUGUUAAACUGCUAAAUAAAAACACUUCUAUAUUUUCUGGUUUCUCUUCCCUUUCCCAGCAUUAAGCCUUCACUUUUUAGCCAAAAAAAAAAAAAAAAAAAAGUGUAGUUUGUUAAUGCCGUGCAAUUAAGUUCACCUUGUGUAGGAAGACUUACCUCAAAGCUUGAACUGGUGAUUGAGCACCUGGUGAAAGGCUGUGGCUGCCCAGGGAGCACCUGUGCUCCCCACCUGGCCAGAAGGGGUGGAACCAGGGGGAGCCAGCCUGGGCUCAAACAAGGGCUGGCUAGUGAAUGGAGAGCAUCUAGGCUGCUUUCUGAGAAGGAGUGCUGUGUAGCCAGAGAUCCCCUUUACCAGUUUGCCCAUAGCCUGUCAGAAGACUUUGAUCGUGUCAUGGAUGGAACAGGUUUUCAAUCACUGCCUGACUACAACCUCGUGAGGUCAGGGGUUCUGACCAACUUGCGGAAUUUCCUUGAGAACAGAUUGUGCUACGAAUUUCCCUGUUUCAGAGAGCGUGUCUGAUGUGAUUCUCUUGGUCCUGUGCAAAAUUUUGGAAGAGGGCAUCAAAAAAUGUAUCAACUCUUUCAAAUGAGCAUUGUGUUAAUA
rnacentral:lncRNA from 1 species